rnacentral:lncRNA from 1 species
UUUUUUUUUUGGGGGCUGUACCCCCGGCAUAUGGAAAUUCCCAGGCUAAGGGUCGAAACAGAGCUGUAGCUGCUGGCCAAAGCCACAGCCACAGCAAUGCGAGAUCUGAGCCACAUCUGCAACCUACACCGCAGCUUAUGGCAACACCAGAUCCUUAACCCUCUGAGCGAAGCCAGGGAUUGAACCUGCAACCUCGUGCUUCCCAGUUGGGUUUGCUACCGCUGAGCCACAAGGGGAACUCCACACAUAUUUAUUCUUGAUUGAUUACAUCUGUCAGCAUUUGGAUCCACAGCAAACACAAACUUGGGUUUUUCUAAAGCUCUUUGGGGCUUCUCAUAAAGCAGGCUUUUUAACCAACGUUUUGAAUAGAUCAGGUUAAGGUAUGCAAAACAGUCGUUCCAAGUGGGAUUUGAUCUAAUGCAAUAAGAGCUGAAGAUUUAUGAGGGGAUUUCUUUCCUAAGCAUUGGAAGAACCAGGUAGUUGUUUAUCAUGCUUUGUGUGGAGUAUUUUGCUUUCACUCUUGGGCAGACAGAUAAAACAGAUGUUCCCUAAAGACAUCAGCACCUUCCACAGAAAAUAAAAGCUACUUAACAGAAAAACACAGGGAUAGUGCGAGAGGCAGAUGCUGUCCAUAACGAAAGGAUGGCUCAGUAGCACUGGUGCCCUCCCUCCCCCGCAUCUCUUUUCCCAGUCAUCCUGGGCUUUUUCUUUAGCACAAAGUGCUGUCUUAGGAUGAAUGGUUGCGACAAGGUAUUUAGAACUGAGGAACUAAAUGAGUUGCCAGCACAGUGAGUUGUUCAGCCAGGAGUGGCCCCCAAAGGGUGAAUUCACGCAUUUCAGAAAGCUUGACUCCUCCUUUAGAAGGGCAGGGAGAAAAUUCACGAAGAAAACGAGUGCAUUGAAGAACGGAGUUUAUGGGAGGCAGACCCAGGGAAAGAGUGCCGUUUUGGGAAGCUCCACGAAAGCAUGAACGAGAGCAGGCUGGACUUCAGCUUUCGUCCCCCUGGCCACACUUUCUGUAACACAGGACACAGAGACACCAAGCCACGUGUGUGGUUCCUUCGGGCACACAAUUGUAGGAUAACCUGACAUUCAAUUGCUAAGUCGGUUUUCCAUCUGCUGACUGUUACCUGUGAGGCAAGUACUUUUCCAGAAAUGAUAAUUUGUUUGGGGUAGAGGUGGUGGGUGGCAGGCAAAGGCUCUGUUUCAAACAAAGUUGGACACUCUUCUGGGGGCAACUCAUUCCUCUUGAGACUUUUCCUUUGACUAUAGAUGACUUGCCUCUAUGUCUGGACCCUGAAUUCGUAAGUCUCUCUUGUGUUGGCUCUGCCACUUAUUUUUGACACUGACUGUACUUUGCACCAGUACCACGUAAGAGCAUUGUGGCCUCAUACACUGGAUAUGUUAGAGCAUAUUAAGGAUGCUGUUAGGAGAGAUUUAACAUAGUGCCUGCCACAUGGUAGAUACUUGCAACACGUUGUCUGAAAAGCGUGUGCUUUGGGGACACAAUUAAACUUCCUGUUGUGCCAAUAAUAGUUAGGGGUUUGAAUCCAUCCAGUUAAUGGACUGUCUACUCUGCUAGCCCUGGUGAUGUGUCUUCUAGAACAAUGGUUCUUGACUUUUACCAUACAUUAAUGAUUAUCUGAAGAGUUUUUAAAGUCAUGAUGCCAAGGCUGCUGCCCAUACCAAAUUAAAUCAAAAUCCUUGGGAGUGCGACCCAGUCAUGAUUAUUUUUGAAAAGCUCUGCAGGUGAUUCCAUGAGACAGCCAAGCUUGAGAACUAUCUACUAUUCUAGACUAGAGUGAUCUACACCACAGCUCACAGCAGUGCAAGAUCCUUAACCCAGCGAGUGAGGCCAGGGAUCAAACCUGUAUCCUCAUGGAUACUAGUCACAUUCGUUACUGCUGAGCCACAAUAGGAAAUCCUCAUGUGGUCAUUUAAAUUUAAUAUCAUUAAAAAUUAGCGCCUCAGUUGCAAUAGCCAAUUUUCAAGGGCUCAGUGCCACAGUAUAUGGUGGUUCAUGACUGCUAUAAGGGACAGAGUAGAUUAUAGAACAUGCCCAUGAUAGAAGAAGUUUCAAUGGACAGCAUGGCACUAGAGUCUCGAGUUUUAGAUUUAUGUCUAGUUCUUCAAUCUGAAUGGAUCCUGAAUGAUCACAAUGUCAACAAGAAUUUUAAGUAAAGUAUUCUUGAGCACUGUCAUAAUUUCUCUAUCUCAAUACCCAUCUCUGAAAGGGUCAAGUUAUAAUUAGAAGGCUAAUUAAAAUAAUUAAAAUUUUCUGGCCAAAGCGACAUUCUUCUUGGGAGGAGGGCCUCUAACAUACAGACCAAAACAGUAGUGUGCUUUCUUAACCAUGGCUGUGGUUGCUACCCAUGGUGGUCGCCCAGCCUCUUAGAAGGAAUAGUCCCAUUGGAAUGCGUCAGUGGGUUCUGGGCCUCAGAAAGGCCCCUCAGUCUUCCAAGUUUAUUUCUCUAGAUCUUUUUGGGAUUUCACUUUAUGAAUAAGAUCCUCUUUAGAACUGCUAGUUUUUUGGCCCCAGUCCUUGAAUCUGUGAGGAAGCAUCUAUGCAUGUCCCCUUCAUGACAACUCUGUGGAUCAACCUGUAGCAACUUGCCAGUAAAAAUAGCAAGUUGGAAGCAAAUUUCCUUUCAUACUUUGUAAUGCAACUUAUUACAUGCAGUACUAAUUUGGGGAAAUCAGAUAUAAGUUAGGGCUCUCAACAAGCUCCUGAAUUCAUCAUACUGUAUUUAUUUAGAGAUUUGAUUAUAAAAUACUCCUACAGCAACACUAUAGUAUGACUCAUCUUAGGGACAAACACUAAAUAGAAUCCUGUGGUCUACUUGGUAAUAGCACAGCUUUGAUAAUUUGACUUCAUUUAAACUAAUAGAAAUAGAUUUAUUCCCAGAAAUAUUUUUUUGUAGGGAGGAGGAUGAGGCAACAGAGGAAGAGGGCAGUUGGGAAGAUUCUGAUCUCUUUGCUCUGUCUCUAAAGCAGAGUUUCAAAUUGUCAUCUUUUUUUUUUUUCGUCUUUUUGCCAUUGCUUGGGCCGCUCCUGCGGCAUAUGGAGGUUCCCAGUUACACAUACAAGCAUACAUUCUUUUUUCUCACAUUAUUAUGUUCCAUCAUAACUGACCAGACAUAGUUCCCAGUGCUACACAGCAGGAUCUCAUUGCUAAUCCAUUCAUAAUUUUUAUUAUAGACACUGAGUUUUGGGGGUUGAUAGAGCCACCAUGGAUGAAUGUCUCCAGGGCAGAUGUAGUUCCUCAGGUCUCUUCAACCAGGGUACCAUUGGACGACUGUAGAUUCCUCCUUCUAAACAGCUGCUUUCAACACAUCACUUUCCCUAUUGCUGGGCCAAGAUGUUCCUUUAUUUUUUGUUUUUUUUAAAAAUUAUAAAAAAUUUUUAUUGAAAUAUAGUUGAUUUACAAUAUUGUGUUAGUUUCUAGUGUACAGCGAAGUGAUUUAGUUUUAUAUAUAUAUAUAUAUACACACGCACACACACACAUAUAUAUACACACAUGUGUGUGUAUAUACAUGAAUAUAAAUUUUCAUAUUAUAUUCCAUUAUGGUUUAUUACAGAAUAUCGAAUACAGUUCCCUCUGCUUUACAGUAGGACCUUAUUAUUUCUCUCUUCUAUACAUAUAAAAGUUGGUAUCUGCUAACCCCAAACUCCUAAUUUAUUCUUCCCUCACCCCCUUUCUCCUUUGGUAACCAUAAGUUUAUUUUCUAGGUCUGCGAGUGUCUGUUUCUGUUUCAUAAAUAAGUUCAUUUGUGUCACAUUUUUUUUUUUCUGGGCUGUGCCUAGGGUAUGUGGAAUUUCCUGGGCCAGGGAUUGAACCUGCACCACAGCAGUGACCUGAGACACUGCAGUGACAUUCCUGGAUCUUUAAUUCACUGCACCACAAGGGAGCUCCUAUUGUCAUAUUUUAGAUUCCACAUUUAAGUGAUAUCAUAUAGUAUUUGUCUUUCUCUUUCUGACUUACUUCACUUAGUAUGAUAAUUUCUAGGUCCAUCCAUGUUGCUGCAAGUGGCAUCAUUUCGUUCCUUUUUUUUUAACAGCUGAGUACAAGAUGCUCUUUCGGACACCUUGCCAGAGGUCUUUACCCGUCUGAAGCAGUUACCACUUAAUGAGGACUCCAUUACAUUUUUUUGUGGGAUACAAGGUUUCCUUCAACCUUCAUGACCCCCUACUAUUGGGGAGAGUAUUAUUUCCUCUUUCAGCAGAAGCAGAGACCAAGCUGUGGAGAGGUUAAACUGCUUGUCAAAGCCCAAAGAUACAGUUACUAAAUCAAGUAGCAGAGCCUAAAAUUAGACCCAAGCCUCCCUCCAAACUUUACCCCUGUCCCAUUCUCCCGCAUUGCCUCUUACUACCAGGCAAUGUAUCCCAGAAAAAUGCUCACCCUAGGCUGCUGAUCUCAUGUUACCUGAUCAUGUGUGGUGGACACGGCAUUAUGCUCCGCAUUGUCUGUCCUUUCUUAUUUACUCCUCAGCUUGCCUCAUCCCCUGCUUCUCGGAUCCAUUAGCUUCUCUUUCUUGUUGUCCCUACUCAUUGUGUCCUUAUGGCAUCUGUAUCCUCUUUUGUGUUCUCCCUUUCUGCUCCUAUUUCUCUCGUGGGUACAUAUGCAUCUAUGUGCAUCAUGAUCACACAUAUUUGGAAUGAGCUAAGAUAAUCUGUGCAAGAAAAUGUAGGGCAAAUAUGAGUGCAUUGUUGUACGAGUUCAAGCAAAGCUUUAUCCAGGGCUUGGAAUGGCGUAUGCACAAGACAUUAAAAUUUAUCUUGUAAAAUGAUUUGUUGGGACCAUCUUGAUGGUAAGAUUAUUUAGAACUAAACACCUCUUCUCAACCUAUAGGCCGCCUGUCUUCUACAGUUCCCUCAGUGCAUGGGUACCAUGAGAUGUGUGCUUGUUGCAUACUAUAAACAGCCCUGCAGGUAGGAACCUGUAUUUCCAGAUACCCACGUAACUAGGUCAGAGUACAUCCAAAGCUAGGCUGUGAUGCUCUGAUGCCAUUUACAUUUAUUUUUUCAUUAAAUAUAACACUUUAAGACACUAAUAAUAAACUUGACCUGACCUUAUGAGUGGUGGGAUGCUGUCUGUUCUCCCCCAAAUUUUGUUGUGCUUUUUAAAAGAAUGACUUCUGACAAGUCAGAGUCAUUAGGAUUUGUUACUAGAAAAAGAAACAAAUUCCAUCAUUUUACUAUGUUCAAUGUAUACUGAGGUGAAAAUUUCAAGACCCAUGUUUCUUUUUUAUAUUUUUAUUUUUUAUUUUUUAAAGUAUACUUGAUUUACAGUAUUGUGCCAAUUGCUUCUUCAUAUAUAUAUACAUUCUUUUUCUCAUACUAUCUUCCAUCAUGUUCGACCCCAAAAGAUUGGAUAAAGUUGCUGUAGGACCUCAUUGCUUAUCCAUUCUAAAUGCAACAGUUUGCAUCUAGCAACCCUAUGUUCCUUUUUAAAUAAAAAGUUCCUAUAUCUUGCUCUAGUCUUUGCCUUGGCUGGGCACUGCCAAAAGGAGCUUACUCAAGGGAAUAAGAAUCUCCAACUUCAACUUGGUUUUGACCCUCAUGUCAUGACCAACUUGCUACACAUAUGUUGGUCUGUCUUGCUUUGUCUUGCCAGAUGUUGGAAAGCUUGCCCUUGGAGACACUAAAAAGUUAAGAAGCCUC